rnacentral:rRNA from 1 species
GUUUCCAUACUUAUCAAAAGCUCAAUUUUGUACUGGAUCGGGCAUCCUAUUAAUAAACCCAUUUGGACAGAUUUAUCAGAUUGGGAUAUUCUUGAUCAAUUUGGUAGGAUAUGUAGAAAUCUUUUUCAUUAUCAUAGUGGAUCUUCGAAAAAAUGGACUUCGUAUUGA